ensembl:misc_RNA Metazoa_SRP Metazoan signal recognition particle RNA
AUUGGGUGCGGUGGCACAUGCCUGUAGUCCCAUCUACUUGGGAGGCUUAGGUGGGAGGAUCGCUUGAGCCCAGGAGUUCUGGGCUGUAGGGCACUAUGCUGAUUGUGUGUCCACACUAAGUUCAGCAUCAGUAUGGUGACCUUCCCAGAGCAGGGGACCACUAGGUUGCCUAAGGAGGGGUGAACCGACCCAGGUCGGAAACAGAGCAGGUCAAAACUCCCGUGCUGAUCAGUAGUGGGAUCGCGCCUGUGAAUGGCCACUGCACUCCAGCCUGGGCAGCAUAGCGAGACCCCAUCUCAA